CACUGGUUGCAGGUCACACUGCAAUACUAAGAAUGCCCCUAUUAACAGAAGUAACACCAAAGUUUAUCCCUGUGAUAGAAACACCUGAGCUAAAGCACACCGGUUUGUCCUUUCAAAAAGGAUAAAACACACCCCUUUGCAAUGCAUUAUGUAACCUGCGACAAAUAAUGAGUUAAACAAAAAUCCGCAGUUUGGGGCUGUUCUUUGAAUUCACUUUUAAAAUCUGACAAAAAAGCGGUGUUAAAAAUUUAGAGUACAAUAUCUGCAUUUAUAGACUUUGAAAAUAAAAAUUCCAAUGUGGAAGGCUUAUAAAAAGCAUGAAACAUCUGACCAUCUGAUUUAAAAUUAAAAAGUCAUAAUUUGCAUCCAUUUUGUGAUCCAACAUUUCAACUCAAGCAUAUAUCAGAGGUAGCAUGCCUCCAGAAGGUUAUUGAACCACUAGUUUCACUUCCUCAGUUGACCAUGUUGCACUACAACUCAAAACAUCCAAAGAUGCCAUUCUCUACAGAGCCGCGAAUGGACAUUUCCCAGUGAUGUUAACCUGGAACUACAGGCUUUACUAAAAUGUUGGAUCAACUAUAGGGCUGGACUAGAAACCUGACUUCAG